rnacentral:tRNA from 1 species
GGAGAGGUGGCCGAGUGGUCGAAGGCACGCGCUUGCUAAGCGCGCGAGGUCUAAUCCACCUCCGAGGGUUCGAAUCCCUCCCUCUCCG